AUCCAGCUGACAAGUCCCAAAUAGGAUGAAACGCACGUCCUAGAU
rnacentral:hammerhead_ribozyme from 1 species